GAUUCAUAGGACUUCUGAAUUUCCUGAAAUUGUUAGAAAAAAUUUUUUGUAUGCACAAUAUUCUAUUAUUGUCACUAGAAUUUUAAAAAGGUAACCAGAGACCUACAAAUCAGAUUAUGAGAACCAUGGCCCUAAGGAUAUGUGUGAAAUACUGAAUAGCAAACAGGGAAUUUGGAACUCUAGAGAAAGACAGGAGGUUUGAAUCAAGGGCUAAUGUUACAAAGCUUUGCAGGAUAUAUAAAUUACAGAAGAGAGACAGAACCCAAGCUGACAUGUCCUACCAAGACAG